AUGGGAUAUGAGAAUCCAGCAUAUUGCUUUGGAAUGUCUUGGAGAGAGCUUUGGAUGCUGUGGAAUAAUAAGAGGCUAAUGAGACUGAGGGAAGGGGAGGGCAUUAAAUCUGGUGGGCUGAACCGCGGAGAGAGGAGCAUUGGCUGGCCCGUCUUUCUCCAGUCAGAGAGAAAUUACCCUACAGUCCUCCACACGAGACUCCUGCGAUGCGAUAAAUACUGCACCUUUGAUAUCUCGCCAUAUAGCAUCAAUAUUGCAGGAUUAAACUGUCAAGACGUUUGGUCUGGAAUUUAAAGUGUUUUCAUGAUGCAGUUGUUGGAUUUGUGGACCACAUUCAUCCUCUCUAAGGAUUUUUACCUGACUUGAGAGAACCUUACUUACAUGACAUCAUACUAAGAGGAAACUGGAUACCCGGCUUCCCAAGUCCACCAGCACCCCUCUGUGGCCUGUGGUGGCUUGCACGUUGGAUUUAAAU
rnacentral:lncRNA from 1 species